rnacentral:rRNA from 1 species
AGAGUUUGAUCCUGGCUCAGAAUGAACGUUGGCGGCGUGGAUUAGGCAUGCAAGUCGUGCGAGAAGUGUUUUUUGCUUGCAUUGAACACGGACAGCGGCGAAAGGGAGAGUAACGCGUGGUUACAUGCCUCAGAGACCAGGAUAGCGUCGGGAAACUGGCGGUAAUACUGGAUGAUAUCUUCGGAUCAAAUGGUGUGAUUCCGCUCUGAGAUUGGACCGCGUACUAUUAGCUUGUUGGUGAGGUAAUGGCUCACCAAGGCAUCGAUGGUUACCGGGUGUGAGAGCAUGGCCCGGCUCACUGGGACUGAGACACUGCCCAGACACCUACGGGUGGCUGCAGUCGAGAAUCUUCGGCAAUGGACGAAAGUCUGACCGAGCGACGCCGCGUGCGGGAUGAAGGCCCUCGGGUUGUAAACCGCUGUCAGUUUGGAGGAAAGGUCUGUGAAGAGCAGACUAUGACCGAUAUUCAGAGGAAGGACGGGCUAAGUUCGUGCCAGCAGCCGCGGUAAGACGAACCGUCCAAACGUUAUUCG